AAUGAUGGGUUUUUAAUUUCAAAUAUGAGUAAAUGAUAGUUGUCAUAUUAUGGCUUCAAGCAAGGGGUGCAUGUACCAUUUAAGAUCUCUCUUUCAUGUGAAAAGAAUAUAUUAGUCUUAGGGGAAAAAGUUCUAAGUUUUCCACAUGUUUCCCUUUGCUAAUAGUUUUGAUACAUUUUAAAUUUCCCCGGAAAUUUUUUAUUUCUAGGUGAAGAGGUCCUUAAAAGGAA
rnacentral:misc_RNA from 1 species